AAUGAUUAUAUCUUAUAUGAAAGUUGACAAUUCAUGAGUAAAAAGAAAUAAAAAAGGAAAAUCAAUGAUAUGAAACAAUAAAUAUUUUUAUGAGUGCUUAGUGAAGUGUUUUAGGUUUCUUUAUUUUGAAAGUGUGAAAGUGUAGAAAUGGACAAUGUAUAAAUAUUCCACAUUGUGGAAAUUAUAAUGGUCUAAUCUCAUGGUUUGUGUUGUAAAAAUAAAUACUGUGAUGGAAUAUUUAAAGAACCUGUUAAAAAAGAAAAUUCAGGAACCGAAGCACAUGUAAAGGAAGCAAAAACUCAGGAACAAGCACAAUUGCUCAACUUUUGUCUGUAGAAGAUAAAAUCGAGAUAAAGAUCCGAGAAUCCACUGCAUUGUGUUUUUUUGAAAUGAAAAUAGUGAAGGAAGAUUUGACUCUAGUCUUCUUGAAUGUGAAAAAAUUCAUCCAAUAUGCACACUGUCACUGCACAUACUGUCAAUGUACACACUUUAAGAUGGGCAAUUUCAAGAUAUUAUGCAGAAGCACGAUUGUUAACUUUAAAGCCAUUCUAUUCUAUCAUCUUUAAACAUAAUGAAACAAAGUAAGAAAUUUGGUUACCAGAUA